GAUGAACGCCGGCGGUGUGCCUAAUACAUGCAAGUCGAGCGCACUGGCCCAACUGAUAUGACGUGCUUGCACUGAAUUGACGUUGGAUUACCAGUGAGCGGCGGACGGGUGAGUAACACGUGGGCAACCUGCCCUGAAGCGGGGGAUAACAUCUGGAAACAGGUGCUAAUACCGCAUAACAACGAAAACCACAUGGUUUUCGUUUCAAAGAUGGUUUCGGCUAUCACUUCAGGAUGGGCCCGCGGUGCAUUAGCUAGUUGGUAAGGUAACGGCUUACCAAGGCAAUGAUGCAUAGCCGAGUUGAGAGACUGAUCGGCCACAAUGGAACUGAGACACGGUCCAUACUCCUACGGGGGGCAGCAGUAGGGAAUCUUCCACAAUGGGCGCAAGCCUGAUGGAGCAACACCGCGUGAGUGAAGAAGGGUUUCGGCUCGUAAAGCUCUGUUGUUGGAGAAGAACGUGCGUGAGAGUAACUGUUCACGCAGUGACGGUAUCCAACCAGAAAGUCACGGCUAACUACGUGCCAGCAGCCGCGGUAAUACGUAGGUGGCAAGCGUUAUCCGGAUUUAUUGGGCGUAAAGCGAGCGCAGGCGGUUGCUUAGGUCUGAUGUGAAAGCCUUCGGCUUAACCGAAGAAGGGCAUCGGAAACCGGGCGACUUGAGUGCAGAAGAGGACAGUGGAACUCCAUGUGUAGCGGUGGAAUGCGUAGAUAUAUGGAAGAACACCAGUGGCGAAGGCGGCUGUCUGGUCUGCAACUGACGCUGAGGCUCGAAAGCAUGGGUAGCGAACAGG
rnacentral:rRNA from 1 species